rnacentral:rRNA from 1 species
UACGUAGGGCGCGAGCGUUGUCCGGAAUUAUUGGGCGUAAAGAGCUCGUAGGCGGCCUGUUGCGUCCGCUGUGAAAUCCCGGGGCUUAACCCCGGGCGUGCAGUGGAUACGGGCUGGCUGGAGGCAGGCAGGGGAGAAUGGAAUUCCUGGUGUAGCGGUGAAAUGCGCAGAUAUCAGGAGGAACACCGGUGGCGAAGGCGGGUCUCUGGGCCGAUACUGACGCUGAGGAGCGAAAGCGUGGGGAGCGAACAGG